rnacentral:lncRNA from 1 species
GGGUCGGCUCGAGCUGUUUCGACCUAUUUUAAAAACUUUCAUUCGGUCUCCGAGACGUCUCCGCGACUAAUGCGAGACGUCUCGUCGGGGAGACGUCUCUGUGAUUUGCCAGAGACGUCUCCGGCACUGAAAAAUUUCAGAAUGAUUUCUAUCUUUUCCCAAUUUAUUUUAUUCAACCACAAUAAUCAGUGUGAUUUCUUUUAGUGAAUAUAGAGUGAGUUUGCUUGUGAUCCUUCCCUUCAAUAAUAUAUCCUAUAAAAGUUUGAUAAUGAUUUUUGAAUUAUCAAUAUUGAAAUGAGGAAUGUUUGACCAAAUUU